GACCGCCCCACGGACCCCCCCCACGCCCCUCCCCCCCAUUGCUGCCCCAUGGCGAGCUACGAGUUGGGCCGUUUGCCCCCCGAGCCCGAGGAGCAGGAUUUCAUCCAGGCCUAUGAGGACGUGCGGGAGCGCUAUAAAGGUGCGGGGGGCCCACGCGUGUUUUGCGUGGGGGAGGCGUGGGGUGGACGGGUGGCCUCGUGGGGGCUGCGGUGACGUCGGGACCCCCCCCGUGUGGGGUCCUGUGGGGCACUGUGGGGCUGAGGGUUCGUCUUGAGGUAUAAUUGUGUUGGUAUCCACGCGUGUCUCGCGUGGGGUCAGCGUGUGGGGGGGUGGUGGACAGCGUGGGGGCAAUGUGGGGUCAGUGGUGACAUUGGAACCCCCCGGUGUGGGGCGCUGUGGGGCUCUGUGGGGCCGUGAGGUCAUCCAGUGGAGAGGGGGUGUCACUACGGGGUACCCACGCGUGUCUCGCGUGGGGUCAGCGUGGGGGGGGUGGUGGGCGGCGUGGGGUGAGCGGGUGGCAGUGUGGGGGCUGCGGUGACGUAGGGACCCCCCCGCGUGAGGUCCUGUGGGGCGCUGUGGGGCUGAGGGGUCGUCUUGAGGUAUAAUGGUGGGGGUACCCACGCGUGUCUCGCGUGGGGUCUGCGUGGGGGGUGGUGGACAGUGUGGGGGCUGUGUGGGGACUGUGGUUGCAUUGGGACCCCCGCAGUGUGGGGCGGUGUGGGGCUCUGUGCGACCCUGAGGUUGUCCAGUGGAGAGGGGGAGGGGGUGUCACUGUGGGCACCCACGCGGGUCUCGCGUGGGGUCAGCGUGGGGAGGUGGUGGAUAGUGUGGGGGCAAUGUAGGGUCAGUGGUGACAUUGGGACUCCCCCUCUGUGGGGCGCUGUGGGGCUCUGAGGGUCCCUGAGGUCGUCCAGUGGAGAGGGGGAGGGUGUGUCACUGUUGCCCCCCACGCGUGUUUCGCGUGGGGUCGGCGUGGGGUCCGCGUGGUGGACGGUGUGGGGCAAUGUGGGGUCGGUGGUGACAUCGGGACACCCCCGGUGUGGGGCGCUGUGGGGCUCUUUGGGGCCGCAGGUUCCUCUCUGUGGGGGGGGGGGCGUCACUGCCGGGAACCCACGCGAGUUUUGCGUGGGGGGUCCGGGUGGGAGAGUGUGGGGGCAGCGUGGGGGCUGCGAUGACAUCGGGACCCCCCAGUUGUGGGGUGCUGUGGGGGGCUGGGAGGUCGUCCUAAA
ensembl:lncRNA